rnacentral:lncRNA from 1 species
CUAUCCUUCAGAAGAGGAGAAUCUCGGUUGGCAGUUAUUUCAGGAUAUCAAAUAAAUACAUUAUUUCAUGCCCUCAUGGUAUAUAGGCUUUUUGCUAAGAAAUCUGUUAGCCUAAUGAGGUUGCCUUUCUGUGUGGUUUAGAGCUUUUUUUCUUGGAGAUUUUUAAAAUUACUUUCUUGUACUUUUGACAGUUUGCCACCAUGAUAUAUGACCAGAAAAGAUUUUCUAUGAUGUCUAUUGGGGUUCUGUAAGUGUCCUGCAUAUGGGCAUCUAUGUGUUUCCCAAGAUUAGGAAAUUUUUUCCAUAGCCCUAACCUUUAUUUCUUCCUCUUCUAAUAUGCCAGUGCUAUAUUCAUUUAAUGGAGUCCCGAAGAUGGUUUUGUUUCUUUUCUGAAUAUGAAUUUCAAGGACUUGUCUCCAAGCUGAGUCUUAUUUCCACUCAAUCUAGUUUUCUAUUAAGGCUUUCAACUGACUUUGUUCGACUUAUUCAGUUCUCCAUUUCCAAGAUUCGUUAACUGAACUUCUCAUUCACAUCCUGGAUUAUCUUGUUUUCACUUAUUUUGACUUUUUUCCCUCAGGCAUUUCAUUCAUUUCAGUAUCUUUGUGAUCAGUUACAAGAGUUUUCUUUUCUUAUUUCUAUCACUUCUAAGGGAUGGCCCUCUUAGCAAACAGCUUUCUUCUAAAUGUCUUGGUAUUGAUUGGUUAUGCAAUGCUAAGGUUAUUUCCAGCUGGGUGCCUCAGUGUAGUCUGUCUGGCUGUAGCUUGUUUGGCAGUAAGUUCGGACAUCUUGUUUAUCAGAGCCAGAUCACCAUCUCUGUGGGUCACACCAACAGUUCGGGGAGAUGUAGUGUAGACAGCAGGGUGGGGGAGUGG